rnacentral:rRNA from 1 species
AACGAACGCUGGCGGCAUGCCUAACACAUGCAGGUCGAACGAGACCUUCGGGUCUAGUGGCGCACGGGUGCGUAACGCGUGGGAACCUGCCCUUAGGUUCGGAAUAACUCCCCGAAAGGGGUGCUAAUACCGGAUAAUGUCUUCGGACCAAAGAUUUAUCGCCUUUGGAUGGGCCCGCGUUGGGUUAGCUAGUUGGUAGGGUAAAAGCCUGCCAAGGCGACGAUGCAUAGCUGGUCUGAGAGGAUGAUCAGCCACACUGGGACUGAGACACGGCCCAGACUCCUACGGGAGGCAGCAGUGGGGAAUAUUGGACAAUGGGCGAAAGCCUGAUCCAGCAAUGCCGCGUGAGUGAUGAAGGCCUUAGGGUUGUAAAGCUCUUUUACCCGGGAUGAUAAUGACAGUACCGGGAGAAUAAGCUCCGGCUAACUCCGUG